rnacentral:tRNA from 3 species
CGGGACGUAGCGCAGCCUGGUUAGCGCACUUGACUGGGGGUCAAGGGGUCGGAAGUUCAAAUCUUCUCGUCCCGACCA